UACGUAGGGUACGAGCGUUGUCCGGAAUUAUUGGGCGUAAAGAGCUCGUAGGUGGUUGGUCACGUCUGCUGUGGAAACGCAACGCUUAACGUUGCGCGUGCAGUGGGUACGGGCUGACUAGAGUGCAGUAGGGGAGUCUGGAAUUCCUGGUGUAGCGGUGAAAUGCGCAGAUAUCAGGAGGAACACCGGUGGCGAAGGCGGGACUCUGGGCUGUAACUGACACUGAGGAGCGAAAGCAUGGGGAGCGAACAGG
rnacentral:ncRNA from 4 species